UGGCCUGAUGUCACACAGCUUUAGUUUACAGUGCGCUCCUACACACCUUAUGUCCUGUCCUAAAGCUGUGCGCUGACAGGCGCCCAGAGAGGAAGACCAGGGGGCGUGACCAGAAGCUUGACUCAUGGAGGGUUUGCUUUGCCUCUGAUUCUCGUGAGCCAUGCAUUGGGCCUGAUGCUUUUAUCACACAUAAAGACUUUGUAUCCUCCCAGGGCAAUGUCUAUUAUCAUGACAUAGCUCUAUUGCACCUGUCCGAAAAGGUGUCCAAUAUACAGCCAGUUUGCUUGCCUUAUUCUGAGGAGACCGUCUCAUCUGGAGAUAUUUGCUACUGGACAGGCUGGACCACUGCUAAGACAGGUGGAAUUAAUACCCACACAAAAUUUCAGGUGCCAAUACCCAUCAUGCCCUAUGAAACCUGCAGUAAGCCAAGUUUUUGGCAGAACCAAUUAACUACAUCUAUGGUUUGCGCUGGAUUUGAAUCUCCAGACAAAUUAAAGUCUUCUUGCAAGAGUGGGGCUGAAGGAGCAUUGAUCUGCCAAUCAGCUUCAAACUCUGCUUGGGAAGUUCAAGGAAUCACGAGUUUUGGGCCUAACAACUGUCUAGUGGAAAGAAAACCUCAGGUGUUCACCAAAGUGUCGGCCUACAGAGAAUGGGUUGAGGACCAGAUGAAAAAAUACAGUUACGAGAAGAAGAUUGCAUAAAUGUAUUAUUUGGACUAUUUGAGAUAACUGGUGAAUAACAGCUUAAUAAGUAAUAAAAUAAAGGAAUAAUCUUUCUGAUGUGCAU